AAAAUUUUUAAAUAUUUUUAAUGGGGGUUAAAGUAUUUUUAAAGAAAAAAUUAUUAAAUUUAUAGUGUAUUAGUAUAGUGUUAGAAUUUUUAAAUAUUUGAAAAAUGAAUUUUUUUAAAAGUAAUUUUAGUUUGGUGUAUCUUGUGUAUCAGAGUUUAUUAAAAAAAUUUUUUAGGUAAAUAUUUCUCGAAUUUAAAAGAGAUAAUUAAUUAAUAGAGUUAUUGUUGCAUAAAUAUUUUAAAUAAUUAAUUUGAAAUGAAAUGUUAAUCGUUUUUAAAUAUAUCUAGUUUUCUUAGAAAAAAAUUUAAUUUUAUAUUAAGAAAAAAAUAUUUUAAUUAAUUAAAAUAUUUUUUUUUUAGUGUAAUAUUUUAAGGGAUAAGCUUUAAAUUAAAUUUAUAUAAGUAAAUUGUUUAUGUUUUGAAAAUUUUAUAAUUUAUAUUGUUAAAAAAUUUUAAUUUAUUAUAAAUAAUUUCAUUAAUAUUAAAAUUUAAUUUUAUUUUAUAUUUUUAUAAGGGGGUAAUAAAAAUAUGAUUAAAAUUAGUUAUAAUGAUAAAAUUAGUAUAUAAAUAUCUUAAAGUAUGUAUUUUUAUUAUAUUUAAUUAAAAGGAAUUCGGCAAAUUUUUAUAUUCACUUGUUUAUCAAAAACAUGUCUUUUUGAAUUUAAUAUAAAGUCUAAUCUGCCCACUGAUUUAGAAAUUAAAGGGCUGCAGUAUUUUGACUGUACAAAGGUAGCAUAAUCAAUAGUCAUUUAAUUGAUGACUUGUAUGAAAGAUUGGAUGAGAUAUAGACUGUCUCUUAAUUAUUAUUGUAGAAUUUAAUUUUUUAAUUAAAAAGUUAAAAUAUAUUAAAAAGACGAGAAGACCCUAUAGAGUUUUAUAUUUAAGUUUAUUAAGAUUAUUUAUAAGUUAAUGUAUUAAAAUUAAUUUAAAUAUUUUGUUGGGGUGACAGAAAAAUAUAUUUAACUUUUUUUAUUUUAAAACAUUUAUAAGUGAUUAUUUGAUCCAGUAUUAUUGAUUAUAAGAAAAAAUUACCUUAGGGAUAACAGCGUAAUUUUUUUUUUUAGUUCAUAUAAGAAAAAGAGUUUGCGACCUCGAUGUUGGAUUAAGAUAAAAUUUAAAUGCAGAAGUUUAAAAUUUUUGAUCUGUUCGAUCAUUAAAAUCUUACAUGAUCUGAGUUCAAACCGGUGUAAGCCAGGUUGGUUUCUAUCUUUUAAAAGUUAAAAUAUUUUAGUACGAAAGGAUUAAAUAUUUAAAUUAAAUUUAUAUAAAAUGAAUUUUAUUAAAUU
rnacentral:rRNA from 1 species